rnacentral:rRNA from 1 species
UUCCGGUUGAUCCUGCCAGAGGUCACUGCUAUCGGGGUUCGAUUAAGCCAUGCGAGUCGAGAGGGUUCGGCCCUCGGCGUACUGCUCAGUAACACGUGGAUAACCUGCCCUAGGGGAGGGGAUAACCCCGGGAAACUGGGGAUAAUACCCUAUAGGUUACAGAUGCUGGAAUGCCCUGUAACCAAAAGCUCCGGCGCCCUAGGAUGGAUCUGCGGCCGAUUAGGUUGUUGUUGGGGUAACGGCCCAACAAGCCCGUAAUCGGUACGGGUUGUGGGAGCAAGAGCCCGGAGUUGGAUUCUGAGACACGAAUCCAGGCCCUACGGGGCGCAGCAGGCGCGAAACCUUUACAAUGCGGGCAACCGUGAUAAGGGAACCUCGAGUGCCUGUAAACGCAGGCUGUUCAGGUGUUUAAAACGCACCUGGAGAAAGGGCCGGGCAAGACCGGUGCCAGCCGCCGCGGUAAUACCGGCGGCUCGAGUGGUGGCCGCUUUUAUUGGGCUUAAAGCGUUCGUAGCUGGGUUGUUAAGUCUCUUGGGAAAUCUGGCGGCUUANCCGUCAGGCGUCUAAAGGAUACUGGCAAUCUUGGAACCGGGAGAGGUGAGGGGUACUUCGGGGGUAGGGGUGAAAUCCUGUAAUCCUCGAGGGACCACCUGUGGCGAAAGCGCUCACCAGAACGGCUUCGACAGUGAGGGACGAAGCUGGGGGAGCAACCGGAUUAGAUACC